GUACAACUGAAAUGAGCUGCUGUCAUUCAGAGCUUUAUUCCUAGAGUCUCAAAGAAAGACUCUUGCAAUGAUGAAUAUCCCAGAUUUGGAGAAAGAUUUAUUACAACCAAACACUAGCAGCAAUGUGUUUUCUGCAAUCUGUAAACCUUCUGUACCAUGACACAGAUGGUCAUUAUUUUUUCUUUCACUUGGGAAAGAUCUUGAUCAUCAGGCCCACGAUUCUGAUCUGGGUGAAAGGUUAUAAGAUUAGACUAGCUUCUUGGGAUAGGAGAGGGAAGAGGAGGGCCAAAGACCUAUAAAAAGUUAUAACCCCAGGGUAGUAAUUUUGUAAAACACUUGUAUGAGUAGAUGGUGAUUCAGCACCAGUCUUUUUUUUUUUUUCUUUUUUAAAUAUAUAUUUUAUUUUUGGGUGGGUGAGUAGAAUUAAAAAACAGACAAAACAAUGGAUGGACAUGGAAUUAAGACAGUCUCAUACCUCCUCUGGUCUUUCUCACUUCUGGUCUUUCAUAGAAAGGAUCCCACUGCAUUCAUUUCCUUGAGGAUGUGAAUGAAUAGGCUGAGAUCGAUAAACAUUUUUCUGCUGGUUGGGAAGGCUUGUUGGGUCAGUUCCCCUGAGCGGUCAUGAGACAGUGCCCUGCCCAGCAGGUGUGUCCCUGAAGUGCAUCUGUCAUCAAAAAGGGAAUUCCUCCUCAUUGCAAAUGAAGUGUGAUUGCUUGUCAGGGAGUUUGAUUCUUGGAAUCUAUCAGAUUCAGAGACUUCCAUACAAGUUGAGAAAUUGGAUUCAAGCUAAGCAUGAGCAAUAAAGGCUCAGUUAAAUCAAUUUUUCAUUGACUGGUAAGUUAACUAUUAUACAAUGAUUAAGCAUAUUGGAAUCUUUGAUUAAAUGCUCAUGACACAGUGAGAAGUAAAAAAGGCAAGAUACAGAAAUCACACGUAUAUUAGAUAAUAGUUAUCUCAAAUUUUGGUAAAAAUGUCUGAACAACUGGAAAAAAAUACAUGAAUACAUAAACAAUGGUGAUCUCUAGGUGCG
ensembl:lncRNA